CCAUUAUUCCUCUCAUCCUUCGUAGUUCUUCAACAAAACCCUAAGGUUGAGCUCAACCCUCUCUCGCAUUCAACCUUUCCUCUCCAAAUUUGAAUUUCCUCAAAGCUUGGAUUUCAAAUUUCUCUUAUUUCUUUCCACCCGUUCAGUUUCCCGUAAACCCUUUUGAUUUUAAUCUAUUCCUUUUAUUCCAAUUCAAACCCUAACUAUGAUUUGAAAUUAGAAUCGCACCUCUUCAGAAUCAAUAUGGAACCCUAAUAAUCAUCCCUAUCAAUAAUUUGAACCAUCAUUUUCAUUUCGUUCAAUCGCAAGUCCUCUAUCCGCAGCGCUACAAUCAGAAAACACUAGAGGGAGUGAGACCUACUGAUCAACUAGAUCGAAACAGGAAGAGUGGUAUCUGACAAGAAGAUGGGACUAGCAGUGACCUCAUUCGAGGUCUGGAGGUUGGCCUUCAUGCUCCGUUAAUAGUAACGGGAAAAGAAACGAACGUAACGGCGGAUGCGUCUGUGUUGACGGAGGGACUAUGUGGACUGGCUGAUCCAACGAUAAUGAGUCAAAUGGUGUUUCAUCGUUCUACCUAAGGUGAGGACAACAUAAAAGCUGCAAGUAUGUUAAUAUUGCAUUAUCAAGUCUCUUAAUUUCUACCUUUGAAACUCCAGCCAAUGGGUUUCUAUAGUCAAAUUUGGGCCAUCUAUAACAUUAACACUCUUCAUAUAUAGAAAAGUAGACUAGUACAAGAUUUUUCAAAGGUACAGUAGAUUAAUAACCUUGUUAAUUAGUACUAAUAUAUAGACUAUAAGACUAUUAAUAUGUAUUGUUUCCAAGAGUGUGUGUGACUAUUGUUCAGUUCAAUACAACUAGAAUUUUUGGUCCUUUUAAAAUAUGUUCUUUAAUUUUUUUUUACCAUAAUGCAUAAAUGUAAAUGUAUUAUACAUAUUUUAAUUUAAUUUUAGUGUUGGUGUUAAGUUGCAGCAAAAAAAUUAAAUUUAGUGUAGCAUAUUUCAAAGAGAUCUUUUUGAAAUUAAUUUGAAAAAUUAUGUUGGUUUACAUAGUGCUAUUUUGGCUAAUAUCAUAGGUAAAUUAGGAUAUGUAAUUUCCAGUAUAUUACGGCUGUUUUAACCAACAUAAAUUGAAGAUAUUUAUUUAAUGUGAAAUAUAUGGCUUUUGAAACCGCCACUCUAUGUUGUUAAUCUCGGAAAGCGGCGCGGCGCGGUCAACCCCAAAAUUGGAGCGGCGCGGAAGCGGGGAGCGGAGCGGGCGCUAUUUCAUUAUUUAUAUUUUUUAUUCUUUAAUUAAUAUAUUUUUUUAUAUACAAAAUAAAUAAAUAAAAAUAAAAAACAAAGGGUUCAAAUAAUAGUGAGG